CUAUACAUGCAAGUCGAGCGGACAGAAGGGAGCUUGCUCCCGGAUGUUAGCGGCGGACGGGUGAGUAACACGUGGGUAACCUGCCUGUAAGACUGGGAUAACUCCGGGAAACCGGAGCUAAUACCGGAUAGUUCCUUGAACCGCAUGGUUCAAGGAUGAAAGACGGUUUCGGCUGUCACUUACAGAUGGACCCGCGGCGCAUUAGCUAGUUGGUGGGGUAAUGGCUCACCAAGGCAACGAUGCGUAGCCGACCUGAGAGGGUGAUCGGCCACACUGGGACUGAGACACGGCCCAGACUCCUACGGGAGGCAGCAGUAGGGAAUCUUCCGCAAUGGACGAAAGUCUGACGGAGCAACGCCGCGUGAGUGAUGAAGGUUUUCGGAUCGUAAAGCUCUGUUGUUAGGGAAGAACAAGUGCGAGAGUAACUGCUCGCACCUUGACGGUACCUAACCAGAAAGCCACGGCUAACUACGUGCCAGCAGCCGCGGUAAUACGUAGGUGGCAAGCGUUGUCCGGAAUUAUUGGGCGUAAAGGGCUCGCAGGCGGUUUCUUAAGUCUGAUGUGAAAGCCCCCGGCUCAACCGGGGAGGGUCAUUGGAAACUGGGAAACUUGAGUGCAGAAGAGGAGAGUGGAAUUCCACGUGUAGCGGUGAAAUGCGUAGAGAUGUGGAGGAACACCAGUGGCGAAGGCGACUCUCUGGUCUGUAACUGACGCUGAGGAGCGAAAGCGUGGGGAGCGAACAGGAUUAGAUACCCUGGUAGUCCACGCCGUAAACGAUGAGUGCUAAGUGUUAGGGGGGUUUCCGCCCCUUAGUGCUGCAGCUAACGCAUUAAGCACUCC
rnacentral:rRNA from 1 species